GGAGGAGAGGUCCAGAGAGGGACUGCCACGUGCUGUGGUCACACAGUGAGUUGGGUGCAACCGGCCACUUGUGCUUCUCCAAAGCCCCGCUUCUUUCUGGGCUGGCCCAGGGCUGGGUUUAUGGGAUGCCAGUCGAGUGAGGGCAGCCCCCGGCCCUGCAGCCCCGUGGGGCUGGAAUGGUGCCAUCCACAGUCGCCGUCCUCCCCACCCCACCCAGGGAAGGCUGCUCAUCGGCCCGCAUUUAGACGCGGCAGCAGAUUUUCGGGUUGCUCCCAGAUCCUGAGGGUCGGGUGGAGGGAACAGGACUCGGGCCAUCUGCUGCCUCCAUUGUCCCAGAAUAGCUGGGGGUAGGGAGGGGGAGCAGAGUCAGCAAGGAUCAGAAUUGGGAUGAAGGAAGGAGGGAGUCUGAGUUUAACUCUUUGCGUGUCUGCCUGGGAAGUUAGGAAGCUCCCUGUGCCCUGUGCUGAAGUGACCCAUCUGGGCCCCAGAAGCAGGGGCUGAGUGUGGGGUGGGGUAGCAAGGUUAGACCACCUAGUCUUGGCCUUGCCAUGCCCCUUGGGCACAUAGCUGCCGCUGAGCUUCCUCCCGUUUAGCCUGAGCUCUGCCUGCCCAUUUUAGGGUGCAUGUGGAUGGGAUACUUUGAGGACCAUGGGUGGUCACUGAUCCUUCGGCUAGGUGGCUGAGGGUAGGCCCCCAUGAUAACAGGGACAGAGAGUGACUCCAGAACAGGAGCCCUGGCCUGGGGCAGACACCAGAAGGAACCUGGAGAUCUCCUAUAGGGGUCUAUGGCUCCCUCAACCAGCCCCUAUCCCCAGCAAGGAGUGUGCAGGGGCCCAAGGUAGGUCUCCUCUCCUCCCAGCAACCUUUUUCUUUUUUGAGACAGUCUCACUUUGCCACCAAGGCUGGAGUGCAGUGGCAUGAUCUUGGCUCACUGCAACUUCUGCCUCCUGGGUUCAAGUGAUUCUUGGGCUUCAGCCUCCUGAGUAGCUGGGAUUACAGGCACGUGCCACCACGCCUGGCUAAUUUUUGCAUUUUUAGUAGAGACAGGGUUUUGCCAAGUUGGCCAGGCUGGUCUCAAACUCCUGACCUCAAGUGAUCUGCCCUCCUCGGCCUCCCAAAGUGCUGGGAUUAUAGAUGUGCGCCACCGUGCCCGGCCCUGGCAAUCUUUUAAUUGAUGCACCUGCUCCUGCUGUGAGUGAGGUGGACUCCACCCCGGGAGGCUGGUGACCUAUCAUCUCAGCUUUGCCCUUCUAUUGGGAAACUGAGGCACAGAAGGGGAGAAGGUCCUUGGGCCAGGUCACAGGUCUUCUCGGUGCCAGAGCCAAGGUUGGAGGCAGCCUGGCUCUGCAGUGGUCAUCUCGCUGCGGGACAACUUUGAAGAGUUGGACAACCUCCUCAGGCCUGGGCUCCACCCUGCUGCCCACCUGUGGCUCUAUGCCCUUAGGCAGGUGGCUUCACUGUUCACUGGCCUCUCAUCUGUAAAAUGGGCACAGUGGCUCCUAUGCAGCAGGCUGUGAGGCUUUGAGAUGCUGCAUAGAAAGCUCCUGAUGCGGGGUAGUUGUUCAGUAAGUAGCACCUCUCUGUCCUUGCUGAGCUCACGUUAUCAGCAGUAAGAGGUUGGGGUACUGGGCUGGCCAUCACCUCCACUCCCUACCUUGGCUGUUAUCACAGCAGCCUCCUCGCUGCUCCUGUAGUCCUCUCUCCACUGCUCACUGGCUCCUGGCACAAUGGCCUCCUUGCUUGCUGUGGCAGGUGCCACGUUCUCUGCCAGCACCAGUUCUUGCCUCUCCUUGUAUUGCAACCCUCACUCCUGCACAGCUGGCUUGUUCUUGUCAAGCUCCCAUGUCCCACCUCUUAGGGAGGCUCCCCACUCCCAUCACACAGCAGCCACCUGGUGGUCAUCAAUCACCUCCUGUUAUAGUCACUCAUAACCCGUCACCCUUGCAGACCUGCCUUCCAGGUAUUUGUUGUCUACUCCCACCUGGCUGUGAGCUCCACGGUCAGGGAUCCCCUUGGUUCUGUUCCCUGUAGCUCAUGACCUGGCAUAGUAGAUCCUCAACAAAUAUUUGAGGAACGAACAGAAACAUAAGUGAACGGACUUCUCAGAUCUCUUCCAGCUCUGUCAGUGUUUUAAGAUGCUGUGGAAGGUACUGAAAUAACUGAGGCAAUGCAGUGGGGCUUCCUAAUGGAGGGAUCAGGCUGGCAAUACCAGAACGCACCAAGCCUUCUUAGUAUCGCCCAGAAAGCGUUCUUAGUAUGCUCCAGAUGUGAUCCCAUAGGAAGGACACAGCACUUCCCAGGAAGUCCGCUUGCUAGAAUGAUUGACCCUACAUCACCUCAACCCUCUGGACCUAAACACCAGUCUACAGGAAGCAGGAGGACAGUGCAACAUGUUAAAUGACACCACGAGGGUUCGGUCUGCCACAUCAACAAUGAGGACAGUCUCACAUGACGAAGGGCCUGGUUUCCUCAACAAGUAAAAGGGCAUAAAAAGGAAGAGAGAAAAGACUGUUAGAGAGGAAAAUAGAUUUAAGGGAUAAAGCACCAAAAUGCAAUGUAUGGGUCAGGUGCCAUGGCUCACACCUGUAAUCCCAGCACUUUGGGAGGCCAAGGUGGGCCGAUCACCUGAGGUCAGGAGUUCCAGACCAGCCUGGCCAACAUGGAGAAACCCUGUCUCUACUGAAAAUACAGAAAUUAGCCAGGUGUGGUGGUGGGCACCUGUAAUCCCAGCUACUUGGGAGGCUGAGGCAGGAGAAUUGCUUGAACCCAGAGGCAAAGGUUGCAGUGAGCCGAGAUCACGCUGCUACAUUCCAGCCUGGGAAACAAGACCUUGUUUAGAUCUUUAUUCAAGCAGACGAACCCUAAAAAGGCAUUUUUCAGGAAAACGAGAAAAUUUGAAGAUGGCCUGCAUAUUAGAGGAUCUUAAGGAAUGGUUCAUUGUAUUAGGUAUGGUGAUGAUGUUGGGCUUAUUUUUAGAAAUGUGCUAGUGUGUGAGAGAUACAUUCUGAAAUAUUCAUGGGUGAAAUGAUCUGAUGUCUGACAUUUUUGUUAAAAAGGGGCUUGAGGGAGGAAUGGAAUGAGAAUGGCAAAGUGGGUAUGGCAGUUAGAGCUGGGUGAUGGGUGCGUGGGAGUGCCUCAUACCAGUCCCUCUACUUCUGUAGGGGUUUGAGACUUUCCAUAAUAAAAGUAAAAUGGAAUAAAUAAAA